GACGAACGCUGGCGGCGUGCUUAAUACAUGCAAGUCGAGCGGUAAGGCCACUUCGGGGGUACACGAGCGGUGGCCGGGUGCGUAACACGUGGGUGACGUGCACUCUGCUAUGGGAUUAGGCUGGGUAACUGGGACUAAUACCGGUUAUGACCUUUCUUUGCAUGGGGUUUGGUGGAAAGUUUUUUAGGGUGGGGAUGGGCCGGAGACCUAUCAGCUUGUUGGUGGGGCAAUGGCGUACCAAGACGGCGACCGGUAGCCGGCCUGAGGGGACGACCGGCCACACUGGAACGGAGACACGACCCAGACUCCUACGGGAGGGAGCAGUGGCGAAUAUUGCGCAAGGGGCGGAAGCCUGACGGAGCUACGCCGCGUGGAGGAUGGCGGCCUGCGAGUAGUAAACCUCUUUCUACCCCGACGAAUUUGGACGGUAGGGGUAGAAGAAGCACCGGCCAACUACGUG
rnacentral:rRNA from 1 species